CUUAAAGUAUUAGACUUGGCCGCUUACAUUUAGUCAAAAAUGGUUUAUUGACCUAAAAGGAACUGUGUUUAGCCUAUACGUGACUUUGGAGCUUCAUAAUUUGCUGAAGGGAAUCAAGUAUAUUGGAAGAGCUUUGCAUCGACUUUACCAACGACCAAGGUCAGCUGCAAUCGCGAUGGGAGGACGUCGCAGCGUUCGCAUCUGUGGAUUAUACACGCACGUCUCUCCUACUGGGUUACGGACUAUCCAUCAGCGCAAUGGAAGAUAUCAGAGCUGUUCUAUAAACGUCAGCAGAGGAGCCGUGUUUAAACAAUGGCGCCCAACGUGAAGAGGUCCCAGGAUCAUCCGUGAAUCCGGAAGGUCAAAAGGUCAACCUUUCUGAUAUCGAUGGCUGAAUGAACUAAGCGGUGGAGAUACAGAUGUGAGCGUCCAUAAGCGGGCUAUUUACCCUCGGGCUAUUUUGUGGAGGGCUGUUUUGCCCAGGGUUGUUCUGGGUAGGGUUAGUGGCCUGUCCGGGACUGGUCAGUACAUGGACAAUAGACCAUCACAGACUCAUAUUUGCUCUAUAUAAUUUUUUCUUUUGUCAUUUCCGGUCCCAGGAUUUUUUUUCGAAUGAACUCAGCAGUGGAGAUACGGAUGUUGUAAUGUAUCAUUUUUUAUGAUAUUUAUUUAUUUAUUCCUGCCCUCAAUUAUUACUUAUAUAUUUCUCAUUAAUCAUUUAUUUAUUUAUUUUCUAGAGUGUCCAUAAGCG
ensembl:lncRNA